AAUCUCAUUUAAGGGCUAGUAGACAGAAGGGAAAUAUCUUUAGUUGGAGAUUAUUUUCUUGUGGGUGUUUGCUAUGGAAUGGGGAAUUUGGUAGCUUACUUUUAAUAACAUUAAAAAAAAGAAGCAUUAAGCUUAAAAAAUAAGGACACCUGAUGUGGAAAUCAUCUGUAGGCGAUAAAUAUGGAAUGUGACAACUGUUUUCAGAGUGAAAUCACUUUGAAGAUCAUCAUGAAAAAGCUUAAUCAGAGCUUCAUCAAUGAAAAAGGACUGGGAUAAUCUCUAAAGGAUAAUAUAGAGAAAAGAAAGCAUGGACUGUAACACAGCAAGGUAGACUUGGUCUGAGUUCUGACAUCUUGACAAAGAAAGCAGAAUGACUCUAAGUAUGUUCAAGUAUAUUUUAGUGCCUUUGUGAGUGCGUCUUGCAGCUGAGAUACAUUGUUUCUAGUCAAACAUGAGGAUUAGUCUCUAGAUUUUCUAUAGACCUCCUUUUCAUGCAUGCUUUCACCAAGUCUGUUUCCAAGACUUUUUUUUUUAACUGAGAGGUUUGGUGCCUUGAGGAACUGUCAUAAGAUGGAUAUAGUUGUUUUUCAUGUAUUACUAAUCUUGCUACAUUAGAAAUACCCAAAUAUAAUUUUUAAACAUUUUGAACCAAAAAAUAGGCAAAGCUCAGUGUAAAACUUUCAGAUGUCAACUUUGCACCAAAUUUUUUGCCUCUUGUGGAUGUACUCUGGAUCUUGAUGUGAUUGCUUAUGUUUUAUAGGAGUAUAUGUUGAUUACAUACUACCUUUUGUAAUGAAUUUUCUUCUAAGAUCUUAAAAAAAAAAAAUUACAUUAGAAUUGGGUUGUACAAAUCUUGCUCUUUUCCAUAACACUGCAAAAACAAUUUGAUUGUAUAAAUGUUGUAGUUUACUAUUUUCUAGUUUCUAUUAGAUGUCUUGUAUCUUGAGGUUGUCCUUUAAUGUCUGCUUCUUCUUCCCCUGUACCCAGCCAACCUUCAUAUGUACUUCUUACAGCUACUUUUCAGUCCUCAUGUUAAUUCAUAUUUACAUGUUGAAGUUGGCUAACCUUUUCCAUUUGCUAACUUGCUAACCAUCCAGCAGCUCUCAUUGGAUUCUGAGUAAUCAAGUCUUCAAAAAGAUCAGUUUACAUCUCUUACAUCCUGUGAAUAUAGAUUUAAGAAGUUGAAUUCUGAAAACCUUCACAAACACAUACAUUGAAGGUUUUGAGACAGAAAAAGGUUUUCCAAAAGCAUCUGUUUUCUGGGUUGUUUUCAAGAGGUCCUCUCCUGACCCAACACUCUGUUCAUGUAUGCUUCAGUUACUGCAAAUACUGUGUAAAGUUUUACUGCAAACUCUUCUGCUGUGUAUAAUACCUGAAGUAAGAAGCAGGAUUUUGCUGUUAAAUUCAUAAAACUUUUAUGUAAGAGGAAAAAGUAGACUGCCAGUAUAAAGAAAUGGUGUUAGGGGUGAGCAUUGUGUGCUUGUAAGCUAUGCAAGAUGCAUGUGGUCUGUUGCAAUGAGUUCACAGAGCCCUGAGCUAGUGCUGCUCCUGCCAGAACAUCUGUUCUGGCUGGGAGCAUCUAUAAGAAAUGCAACUACCCUGUUCGUCACAAGGUCAAACAUGCUUUCUUAAACCAAAAUGAUUUUUGACAAGAUGGAACACAAUUUGACCAGUUGUUGUACACUGAAAUUUUAAAUUAUGCACAUACUGUGUAUGACAGAUUUAUUUGAAGACUUUUUUUUUUAACCUUCAGCUAGUUAAAUAAGUCUGGCAACAAAAGGCCUUUCCUAUGGACCUAUAUACAUAGAUAGGUAGAUCUAUCUAUCUAUAUAGCUCAUACCUGGUGAUGUACCCAAGAAUAAAAUCACUCGUUCACUGGGAAUGCUCAUUAAACAAACAUAAAUUGGUUCCAUUGUCUGGAACUUGACUGUCCUCACUGGACUGUGAUGAAUGCUGCUCAUUACUUAGAUUAAGCAUUCAGCUUUGGGAAGUCUACCACAUUGUGAAUUGUUUCACGUUAUUAGGCAAAGAGAAGGUAGUCAUGUAGACAAAUGGCACUGUUUUAACCAAUUAACUCAAAAAGUCUAGAUGUAGUACAUAAUGUCACAUUUAUAAUAGUUCACAGUUAACACUGAGCUUGGAUGGGUUUUCAUACCCACUGAGGAGAAAAAAUUGUCACUAGGGAUGUUCCCUGCUGGCUGAAAAAAGGUUCUGAAAUUGUAUUUAUCUUCUUUGGGGCUGCUUGCUUUUCAAAAGCAAAGCAGAUAUUUUUGACAAUAAAUUGCCCAAGUGACACUUUCAGGUCUGAAUCCUGUCUGAAGCAGUCUGCUCUUUGCUAUAGAUGAGGCAACACUGAGCUCUUAAUAGGAAGAUGAAUAUGAGAAAUUUAAUCUAUAAAUUAAUUUUUUAUGAUAGGGAACAAUACAGCACACAAAU
ensembl:lncRNA